AUACAAAACUCCUGGACAUCGGCUAAAAUGCAGAUUUUGACUCAGGUCAUCUAGAAUGGGACCUGAGAGUCUGUAUUUCCAGCAUGCCUCCAGGUGAUGUUGAU
rnacentral:pre_miRNA from 1 species